AUACGUAGGGGACGAGCGUUGUCCGGAAUUACUGGGCGUAAAGGGCGCGCAGGCGGCCAUUUAAGUCAGCGGUUAAAUCGUGGGGCUCAACCCCAUUCUGCCGUUGAUACUGGGUGGCUUGAUUGCGGUCGAGGUUGGCGGAAUUCGUUGUGUAGCGGUGAAAUGCAUAGAUAUGACGAAGAACACCGAUUGCGUAGGCAGCUGACCAGACCGCAAAUGACGCUCAUGCACGAAAGUGCGGGGAUCGAACAGGAUUAGAUACCCUGGUAGUCCGCACAGUAAACGAUGAAUACUUGUUUUCGGCGAUAUAAUGUCGGAGGCAAAGCGAAAGCGAUAAGUAUUCCACCUGGGGAGUACGCCGGCAACGGUGAAACUCAAAUGAAUUGGCGGGG
rnacentral:rRNA from 1 species